rnacentral:rRNA from 1 species
GACGAACGCUGGCGGCGUGCCUAAUACAUGCAAGUAGAACGCACAGUUUAUACCGUAGCUUGCUACACCAUAGACUGUGAGUUGCGAACGGGUGAGUAACGCGUAGGUAACCUGCCUGGUAGCGGGGGAUAACUAUUGGAAACGAUAGCUAAUACCGCAUAAUAUUGAUUAUUGCAUGAUAAUUGAUUGAAAGAUGCUAUUGCAUCACUACCAGAUGGACCUGCGUUGUAUUAGCUAGUAGGUGAGGUAACGGCUCACCUAGGCGACGAUACAUAGCCGACCUGAGAGGGUGAUCGGCCACACUGGGACUGAGACACGGCCCAGACUCCUACGGGAGGCAGCAGUAGGGAAUCUUCGGCAAUAGACGAAAGUCUGACCGAGCAACGCCGCGUGAGUGAGGAAGGUUGUCGGAUCGUAAAGCUCGGUUGUAAGAGAAGAACGGGUGUGAGAGUGGGAAGUUCACACUGUGACGGUAUCUUACCAGAAAGGGACGGCUAACUACGUG